rnacentral:lncRNA from 1 species
ACCUCCCAUAGUUCAUCCUCCAACUUCAAUCUUUACUUCAAAGUUUGAUAUUUGACUUUUCGAUUAUUCUCUAGAUUAUAUUUUUUUAUUGAAUGAGUAGGAUAAAUGUCUACUCGAAAAGUAAGAUAUAUAAAUUUUAAUAUAUAUUUAAAUAUAUUUAUUUUACUUCCAUGUACAAUCCCAUAUGGCCAUAUGCUAGCUAGUGUGUAUAUGUUUCUGCUUCGGCUCCUUCCUCUAAUGGUUCGAA